UACGAAGGGGGCUAGCGUUGCUCGGAAUCACUGGGCGUAAAGGGUGCGUAGGCGGGUCUUUAAGUCAGGGGUGAAAUCCUGGAGCUCAACUCCAGAACUGCCUUUGAUACUGAGGAGCUCGAGUCCGGAAGAGGUGAGUGGAACUGCGAGUGUAGAGGUGAAAUUCGUAGAUAUUCGCAAGAACACCAGUGGCGAAGGCGGCUCACUGGCCCGAUACUGACGCUGAGGCACGAAAGCGUGGGGAGCAAACAGG
rnacentral:rRNA from 1 species